UGACAAAGGGCAUGCACAAAAAGUUUACUCUGAUAUGCCUUAAAAAUCUGUAGACAAGAGAGGGCCAAGAUAAGUUUAGCCUGUUUACCACAUGCUGGAAUUCAGCUCAUUUCACAUCUAUCUUCUAUUGCUGUAAAUGUAUAUAGUGUGCACUCCAUGAAAACUGACACCAAUGUUGGCAAAAUACAACAAAGCUUCCUAACACAUCAAAUGGAUUUUUAAAAAUCUGAGCUCCAAGAACACAUAUCUUGGAGCACUGAGCUCCUGCAAGCAAUCAGCUGGUUUUAAUUUCUCUCCCGCAGCUGCUAAAAUGCUGGUUUCAACCUGUAAAGAUUUCUGGGCCCCACCAGUCAGCACGUCUCACGGUCUUCACAGCCCCAGAUUCCGGGAGACAAUGCAUCUAAAACGAACAGCGGCUGGGAACGGUGGAGGAUACCUUCACGAUAGUUGCUUCCAGAGAAAGGCAUGCAAGUCUAAUUUUAAUGGAAAAAGAAUAGGCUCUAAAGCAGGGCUGGCUGCAUCACACCUGAUCUGUCUAGAGCGCUCUUAUUUCAGUCCCAGAGAGGAAGCGCCCAGCCCCGGACUACAGAGCUGUGAAUGAACCCACGCAGGGCGAGUGGAGAAUUUAUUCCAGGGGUUAGCUGGUGAUUAGGACACCGUGCAAGGGGUGGGGCUUGCUAUGCCUAGAGCAGCCCGCUUGAGCUCAGCUCCCUAGCUAGCACCUUUACAAAGGAUGGAGAGACGGAAUCCGCAAACGCUAUCCCUUUGAAUAAAGGCAGCCUUGUUAGGGAAAGGAAAGACUGUCAGUCCCCCCACUGGCUUCUUUCCCUUGGGGAUAUUUGUUCUGCCCUCUUUGUAUUGUUCAUUUCUCCUGCCAUGUUGACCUGGAUAUGGGAUGUAGCAUCUAUUAAAGAUUCUUAUUUGAAUUUGAA